rnacentral:rRNA from 1 species
UACGAACUGUGCGAACGUUAUUCGGAAUCACUGGGCUUACAGGGUGCGUAGGCGGCUUGUUAAGUAGGGUGUGAAAGCCCCCGGCUCAACCGGGGAAUUGCGCCCUAAACUGGCGAGCUGGAGUGAGAUAGGGGUGUGUGGAACUUCCGGUUGAGCGGUGAAAUGUGUUGAUAUCGGAAGGAACGCCGGUGGCGACAGCGACACACUGGAUCUUGUCUGACGCUGAGGCACGAAAGCCAGGGGAGCGAACGGG